CAUUAAAACACCGGUUCUUGUCCGUUCACCGAAGUUAAGCAACGUCGAGCCUGGUUUGUACCCAGAUGGGUGACCACUUGGGAAUACCAGGUGCUGUAAG